UUUGUUCAACUGGCGCUUUUUUAAGUUGCAUUUGUGAAGGUACUUCUAAACUAUAGUAAAUUUUUCCUGGACAGACCCCUGCUUACAGAAAAUUAAACAACAUCCUUGCCUAAUCAGGGAUUUCAACUCUACACAGUCCCUUCGGUUUAUUGAAAUAACUAGGAAAUUCACCAAAAAGUUUAACAUUUACCUCUAAUUCCGUUAUCUGGGGACAAGAUUAUCGGGCACUACACGGUUUAUUUAAUUCCAACUUUAUAGUUGGCAAAGUUGUGUAAAUUUGACGUAUCUUCCUGAGGAGUAUGGAAUAUCCUUCACUGUUACUAUAGAUAAGCUUACCAUUUAUAAUGAAACCAUAUCAGCAAAAAAUCCACCUCCUGCAUGUUUUGGAGCUCCAAUUUUAAAAGAUUAUGCUGACCUCUGCCUUCGCUUUUAUGAUUUAGAUGUAUCAAAGACAAAACUACACGGUUGUGUGAAGAUAGAAGCAAGAUUACACUAUGUCAUUGUUGGAGAAUAUAAGAUAGGCUGCUUUAAUAUAGGACAAAGCAGAUGGAAAAUUUAUCAUAAAAAGCUAGUGCAGCUUAUUCGUGCAAAAAAUAAAAUUUUGAUUAGUGAAAAUAAGAUUUAGUUAAUAUUAUUUUUAGAGAAAUUUUAAUAUAUAUUUAUUAUUUGAAUAUGAACUUUAUAUAGAUUUGUGUGUGUAAUAAUUGAAAGAAAAAAUAAUUGAAUUUUUUAUUUUGUACAAUUUUUAUUGAUCGGGUAAAAGAAAUUACUGACUUUUACAUUAAUUUUAUUGACAGGAGAUAAUCUGAUUCAUUAUUCCUUAAAUGUUUAUGAGCUUGUUUUGCUCUUUGUGUUUUACAUGCUCUUUUGUUCUGAUAUGUUUUUACUUUUAUGCUUCCUAAGUUGACUUGUUUUUCAUACUUUAUUUUAAUGUUCAUUAGGGUAGUAAUUUGAAUUAAAGUUUCCAAGAAGGCAUUUCAACCAAUGACACAGAAACGUUAUAUUUCAUUACAAAUAGAUAAUGUUAAAUAUUUAACAUUAUGAUAAAAAUUCAUUGUAUUUGAAAUGUUUUUUUUUUCAUGCAAAAUUAUCCAAUGUGAUAAUCCGAAAAGAAUUUUCCUUACAUUUGAAAUAUGAAUAUUUCUUUUGAUGGUUUUAAAUGUGAUAAUUCUGAGCUUGUUUUGCUAUAUCUUUUUCAUAUGCUAGAUGUUAUGUUCUUGUUUAUGUAUUUCACUACUAUGUUUACCCUGUUAAAUAUAUUUUUUGGUUUGGUGAACUGCUUGUAUGAGCCUAGAGAUUAUCAAAUUGAUUUUAAAGUAAUCACCCCAAUAGCACAUAUUUUAACUGUAUGCGGGUUUCCCGUGGUCUUGAAAAGUACUUGAAUUUCAUUUUGGUUUUCAAGAGCCCCAUGAAAUCCUUGAAAAUUUCAAAAUGACCUUGAAAAAUAUCAGAAACUUAUGAAAACCAGCAUUUUUUCUUGUAUUUCUGUGUUGAACUUCUCGCCCAAAUAAAGUUGGUUACAUCUGUAUAUUAAUUUAUGCUUAUGGUUACAAAAUCCAUAGUGUGCAUAUAUAUCAAUAUCAUUCCCAUCACUGAUCAUGGGUUUGCAAUACUACUGUUUAAGUAUGCCUUUUGUUUUUAAUUAAUACUUGAAUUGAAAAUACCACAAAUUACAGUAUUAAUUUUCUGGUCAAUUUUGGAAUAAUGUACGUAGUACACUUGAACGGGUAGUAAAAUUAUUGCCAAAAAUUUUAAGUUUCACAUCUUAACAAUUUGAUAUCUGUUGUGCAUUAAUUGUUUAAAAAAUAGGUGCACAUUGAAGUUAUUGUAGCCAGUUUUUUAAUAUGUGAUUAAAUAUUUUUAUCUGAUUCUUAUUUUAAUUUGUUAUUUUAUACUUUUGUUUUGUACAACUUGGCAGUAAUAUUUAAUGUUCCUUUAAGCAUAAGAAUACUAUAUAAAAUUUUGAUUAAAGUUGUGGUCCGCCAUUUUACUGAAGUUUUAAAUUUCGGUCCCUCGGCCUUGUAAGUUGGAAACCCCUGGUCUAGGCAUACAAGUCAUAAACUUUAUGUGCAUAUUCAAUACAUAAACUUUAAUUGAUCAUGAAUGUGCAAUUUUACAGAGAGUUUUUACUGAAACGUUUUAGAACUUUUCUAUGUGAUAUUUGGCAAAACUGGUUCGAUGUUUCACAAAAUACUUCAAGAUUGUAUAUUCUAUUUUUAUAAUAAAUAUUUAAACUUAA